CCGACAUGACACAGGCACACAUCUUAAGUUAUAGCCAAUAUUACACGUGCAGUAGUACACAUCUUAAGGUAUAGACAACAUGUGCGCUGGUUUACACGUCAUCGAGUAUAGCUCACCUGACACGUUCAUAUGGGUAUACACGUCAUCAGGUAUAGCUCACCUGGCACGUGCAUAUGGGUAUACACGUCAUCAGGUAUAGCUCACCUGGCACGUGCAUAUGGGUAUACACGUCAUCAGGUAUAGCUCACCUGGCACGUGCAUAUGGGUAUACACGUCAUCAGGUAUAGCAGACGCGGUACAUGCACUUGUACACAUGUCAUCAGCUAUAGCCCAAUCUAUUAUUUUUGUUCUUUUCAAAGUACCUGUCGUUAUUUAUUAAAGUAAUAUAUCUAAAAUAUUUAUGUGCUGAAUAUUACGGUGGAUACUAUAGUUUAAUGUCAAUAAAAUGAAAAUAAUAUUCUCUCA